rnacentral:rRNA from 1 species
GAUGAACGCUGGCGGCGUGCUUAACACAUGCAAGUCGAACGAUGAAGCUCAGCUUGCUGGGUGGAUUAGUGGCGAACGGGUGAGUAACACGUGAGUAACCUGCCCUUAACUCUGGGAUAAGCCUGGGAAACUGGGUCUAAUACCGGAUAGGAGCGUCCACCGCAUGGUGGGUGUUGGAAAGAUUUAUCGGUUUUGGAUGGACUCGCGGCCUAUCAGCUUGUUGGUUAGGUAAUGGCUCACCAAGGCGACGACGGGUAGCCGGCCUGAGAGGGUGACCGGCCACACUGGGACUGAGACACGGCCCAGACUCCUACGGGAGGCAGCAGUGGGGAAUAUUGCACAAUGGGCGCAAGCCUGAUGCAGCGACGCCGCGUGAGGGAUGACGGCCUUCGGGUUGUAAACCUCUUUCAGUAGGGAAGAAGCGAAAGUGACGGUACCUGCAGAAGAAGCACCGGCUAACUACGUG